UAUUCACAACAAAUAAAAUACUAAACCCCAUACGUUUGAAAAUUGAGUAGAAGGAAAGAUGUCUUUCUCUGAAGAACUACUGAGCGGGAGGAGACAGACAGCACACCCGUUGCCGUGGCAACCGCCUGCGCCCCGCAAGUCAAGCAAAGAUGACAUUAAAAACACAACAUCCUCUCCAUUAUAAUAUCAGUUCCACAAUAAAGUUUGAUGCAGCUCUGGUUUCCUGAAUG